rnacentral:rRNA from 1 species
UACAGAGGGGGCAAGCGUUGUUCGGAAUUACUGGGCGUAAAGGGCGCGUAGGCGGGUCUUUAAGUCAGGGGUGAAAUCCUGGAGCUCAACUCCAGAACUGCCUUUGAUACUGAGGAUCUUGAGUUCGGGAGAGGUGAGUGGAACUGCGAGUGUAGAGGUGAAAUUCGUAGAUAUUCGCAAGAACACCAGUGGCGAAGGCGGCUCACUGGCCCGAUACUGACGCUGAGGCACGAAAGCGUGGGGAGCAAACAGG